AUAAUCUCCACAGGGGUUCCAACAACAAUUGACUAUCACAAACUUAUUCUCGACGUUGAGGAUUUCAGAAAUGGAAAGGUUGACACUGCUUUUAUUCCCAAGCAUGAAUCAGAGUUAGCUGCACCACAAGAAUUGGUACCUGUUGUCAAAGAGCUGACAAAGGUUGCUGCUUAGAUGCGUUUCUCGUUCUCUCAAGCGAGU